rnacentral:rRNA from 1 species
GAUGAACGCUGGCGGCGUGCCUAAUACAUGCCAGUCGAGCGAACAGACGAGGAGCUUGCUCCUCUGAUGUUAGCGGCGGACGGGUGAGUAACACGUGGAUAACCUACCUAUAAGACUGGGAUAACUUCGGGAAACCGGAGCUAAUACCGGAUAACAUGUUGAACCGCAUGGUUCAACAGUGAAAGACGGUCUUGCUGUCACUUAUAGAUGGAUCCGCGCCGCAUUAGCUAGUUGGUAAGGUAACGGCUUACCAAGGCAACGAUGCGUAGCCGACCUGAGAGGGUGAUCGGCCACACUGGAACUGAGACACGGUCCAGACUCCUAAGGGAGGCAGCAGUAGGGAAUCUUCCGCAAUGGGCGAAAGCCUGACGGAGCAACGCCGCGUGAGUGAAGAAGGUCUUCGGAUCGUAAAACUCUGUUAUUAGGGAAGAACAAAUGUGUAAGUAACUAUGCACGUCUUGACGGUACCUAAUCAGAAAGCCACGGCUAACUACGUG